UUGAACGCUGGCGGUAUGCUUAACACAUGCAAGUCGAACGGUAACAGGCCUUCGGGCGCUGACGAGUGGCGGACGGGUGAGUAACGCGUAGGAAUCUGCCUCAUAGUGGGGGACAACGUGGGGUAGCUCACGCUAAUACCGCAUACGCCCUACGGGGGAAAGGAGGGGAUCUUCGGACCUUUCGCUAUGAGAUGAGCCUGCGUUAGAUUAGCUAGUUGGUAGGGUAAAGGCCUACCAAGGCGACGAUCUAUAGCUGGUCUGAGAGGACGAUCAGCCACACUGGGACUGAGACACGGCCCAGACUCCUACGGGAGGCAGCAGUGGGGAAUAUUGGACAAUGGGCGAAAGCCUGAUCCAGCAAUACCGCGUGUGUGAAGAAGGCCUUAGGGUUGUAAAGCACUUUCAAUUGGGAGGAAAACCUGCCGGUCAAUACCCGGUAGCUUGACAUUACCUUUAGAAGAAGCACCGGCUAACUCCGUG
rnacentral:rRNA from 1 species